ensembl:lncRNA
GUUAAAGAUGGAAAGAAACACAGUAUAAAGUUUAAAGAUGGAUAUAAACACAGUAUAAAGGUAAAAGAUGGAUAGAAAUACAGUCUAAAGGUAAAAGAUGGAUAGAAAUACAGUAUAAAGUUUAAAGAUGGAAAGAAACACAGUAUAAAGUUUAAAGAUGGAUAGAAAUACAGUAUACUGCAGUGUUUAUUUCCAAGGCAGAGUGUAACAUGUCUGUUUAUGACAUGGUAAUGGAGGGGAGGAGUGCGCUUUCAAGGAAGGUCAAAUGCCAAUAAUACGGUAUACGUGGUCUGAAACAUUAACAUGUAUGUCUCAGUGUGAAUGACUGAUCAUCAAACCCAAUCAACAGCUUUGGUUUAUUGCUAUCUUAAACAAACACACGUCCUUUCAAAGCCUGUUUCCUGCCUGCCAGCUUAAACGAGACCCCCGCUAGCAGUAGCUACCCCAUGCUGAGGCUCCAAACCGGACCCCGGACUCUAGAAAACGAGCUGCAGCGCAACACAGAGAACAACAUAAUUAACUCUUAAUGAACCUCCUUCUUCCAUCACUAACACACACUUCCCAAAUUCAAUUUGGCCUAAUCCUGCCUUUAUGGUAAUGUAUAGCUCAUUAAAAUGUUAGUUACAGACUCAUUAAAAUGCACUCAGAGACAUAAUGAAUUCAUUACUAUGAUACUGCUGAAAAAGAAAGAGGAGCUAGACGAGAAGAAGGACACGGGAGAAGAAAGCAAAGGAAAGAGCGAGAAUGAGAGAGGAAGACAGGCUUCCCGAUGACUUAAUUUUGACUGGAAUCUGCAUAUAUUUGCAUAAUAAACCUGCAUGCUGUGCAGCUAAUUUUCAGCAUAGCUCUAUAAUGAAGGCCCUUGCAAUUAAGAUUCUUUUCUUCAAAAUAAAUGUAGGACCCGUUCAUAGCUCUUUGUAGCGUCUCACUUUGUGUGUACGCAUCUGUCUGGGUGUGUCAGUGAUGUCUCGUUUGGGUUACAUUCGAAUUAUUUUGCCUAAGUAUGGUAGCUGAUGAAUGCAGGUCAAAGACGACCCAACAAUAUAAACAUAAACGAUGUUGAAAACACCACCUGUGCGCAAAAGCAGCGUGUCCAGAAUGUGAAUUUUCAGCCAUUAAGUGUUUUUCAGCUAGUUCUUCAGCUUUGUAACCCUGCGCUGUGAAGGAAUCAGAGAAGGCAGCAGUAGCAAAGAGACUCCCAAAAAGCCAAGGUCUUCAAGAGACGAUGUUUCAGCCGCUGUAGUCUGAUUCUGCCUAAUGAACGUAGCUGGAGAGCUCUGAAAACUUGGAGACUGAGUAGAAUCAAAAGACUUCAUCUCAUCAUCCAACUCCGCUGCUAACACGCCUGCUUUUAUCCCGUACCUCGGAAUCAAACAAACGUCUGACUGCAUGCGAGAGACGAGACUCAAGACAGAAGCUGGGGAUGAUUGUGAGAUCAAAGACAUGAAUUGGCUGAUCAGGUUGGGAGAUUCAUAUUCCUCUGUAAAACAGGGAGAAAGGCAAACCUUUUGCAGCAUUAAAUAUGUUGCUGGCUGUGUAAGUUUUCUUAUAUUCGUUACUACGCCUUUGAUAUAGAUCUCUAAUUAGUUUGUCAAGAUGGUGAUCACAUGCCGGGGUUGUAAGAACCCUGAUGGAAAUGAACCCUUUGGCGGAAUCAAAGUUUUUUUUUCUUUUUCCAUUAGUAUCAAAGGGUAUUUAGCCACUGUUGGCUUUUAGACUGUCAGGGCAGAAUACUACCAGGAAGGCUUAACACAGCUCAGGAACUGGAGAUCUGACAAAAGGUUUCCUGUGAAAGGACUUUUGCCUGCUCAUCAAUACCAUCAAAUGGUGUAUCUCUAUCUCAUUAUCUCUUUUCAACUCGUCCAGUCUUGAGACAUCUGACAUCUUAAAAAAUUAGUUCCAUGGUGCACUUUCAUUUACAGCUUUUGGCAGAGACCCUUAGAGCAGCUUACAGGCUUAAGGGCCUUGCUCAAGGGCCCAGCACUGGCGAGUUGGUGGUACUGGGCGUCAAACUCACAACCUCCCGAUCAGGAGCCCACUGCCGUAACCACUGACCUACAACUGCCCUGUUUUCAAAGUCUCUGGCACCUAAAACUCAGUGUACAGUCUUCUAGCUUCCCUCAAGUACAAGAAGAAGAAGAAGAAAAAAUGAUGUACAUCUGCCAGGUCUUUAGAUAAACCUUCAGUGCUCAACAACAAUACACCUGCUACUAUAGUUCAGAAUCUGUUAGUCUGAUAAACACGGACUUGGAUAUUAUGGUCAUGGUUUGGUCAUGGUGGAGAUAGUGAAGGACUGGUACUGGUCCUGUACCCACUGGCUCAUUUCAGUUCAUUUCAGUGUGUGUGGGUCUAACAAUUGACCUUGUUACAAAGGAGUAAUACUGGACCUAGAUCAAUAACAAGUAAGCCAAAAGCAAGAAUGGAACACGAAAAAUCUGUCAAGCAGAAUUAAAAGAAAUCUUAAAGGAGGAACUAGAUUCAAACGAGUAAAGAGUACAAUUUGUUAAAGGAGAGUGAAGUCUCUCAAUUCCAAACCAACUCAAAACGCUGACCAGAGAAGGAUUAGCCCUGCCUCACUCAGGGUGAGCAUUGAGUCUUCUCAAGGUAAAUUAUGGUUCCUUUCAAGGUGAAUCUUGAUUCCUCUCAAAAUAAGUAUUGGUUCCUUUAACAUCAAGUGCUGGUUCCUCUCAAGGUGAGCAUUGAUUUCUUUCACUGUGUCUUGAUUUCUAUUGAAGUGAGUCUUGGUUCUGCUCAAAGUGAAUCUUGAUUCCUCACAUUGUAAGCUUUAGUUCCUCUCAAGGCGAGUGUUGAUUCCUCUCAAGGUGAGUCUUGAUUCCUCACAUUGUAAGCUUUAGCUCCUCUCAAGGCAAGUGUUGAUUGCUCUCAAGGUGAGUCUUGAUUCCUCACAUUAUAAGCUUCAGCUCCUCUCAAGGCAAGUGUUGGUUCUUCUCACAAUGAGUCUUGAUUCCUAUUAAUAUGAGUCUUGAUUCUUUUCAAUGGUGUCUUGAUCCCUAUUAAGGCAAGUGUUUGUUUCUCUCAAGGUCAGUUUUGGCCUCGCUCAUGAUAAGUGUUCUCAAAGGUUACUUCCUCACCACUGUUGCCCUUGGCUUGAGCAUUAACAUCUCUAAACCUGCUUCGAGGUAAUCUGCAAUUUGUAAUCACUGUUAUAAUAAUAAAAUAUUAGUCUAUUCCAGCUCAGUACCUGUCCACGCAGUACGUACGUACACACACACACACACACACACACACACACACACACACACACACACACACACACACACACACAAAAGCACACAUUAAUUGCUCUCAUGCAGGGUGUUUUGGAGGGAUCCACUGAAGCAGAAGUGAUGUCUGAUGACAUAGGACCUGCUGGGUGUCACAAUGGCCAAAUACAGCUGGAGACAGUGUGAAGAUGCUUUCUCUCCUUCCCUCUGUGUUUUUUAAUCUCUCACACUGAUAAACUCAGCCAGCCUUCAUCACCAGUUUCAUGCUGUUUUGUAUAUUUUUCCCUUUUUUUUGUACGAACCACACAAAAGUAUCAUUUGUUUGUCACCUUACAUAUCGAAGGUUUUAUUCAUUUUUUCUGCAUGUGAAGAGGAUGUAAGUGAAAGCUAAGCAGAGUGAAUUCCUGUACGUAGCACUCUGCAGUGGGAAUCUGAUGCUGGACCCUUCCUGACGCAGGCUUCUAUUUUCUGCCCAUGAACUGUGACAUUGUGAGAACGACCUCGGGGAUGUACAGUAAGACAAGCCUCACCGCACAGCCCUGC